CAUUAGUUUGAUCUACUUGAUUUUUGUUUUUUUGUUUUUUCUUGUUUGGUAGGUGGAUUUGACAGAAGACAGAAAUGAGUUGGUAAAGAUUUUGGAGGGGGAAGAUGAAAUCCAGUUGUUCCAACCUCAUUAGGAAACGCUUUGUACAUGAGGUUUUCAGAACUCCAAACCUAAUGCUACUCCCAUGUUGGAACAAGGGGAAGGGCCAUGGCUCUGGGAGUUCCAGAGUUCCCAUGAUGGGGAGAUGCCAGCCAAGACACACAGAUUUUGAGGACAGAAGUGAGAAGGAAAAC